AAGUUAAGGACAAAUGAAAAAAAUUAAUAGCAGUAGAAGGGUAGAGAAAAUAUUUCUUUUGUCCCCAACUUAACAACAAAUAAGAAAACUGGGUGACGGUAAAAUGGUAUAUUUGAAAAAGCAAAAUGAUAACCUUACAGAGAUAACGGCUGUUCCAAAUAGUUCAUUAACAGAAUUUGACUUUGAAAGACAUUGGAACCUUAAAUGGUCUUUUUAAUAUUAGCUUUUUAUGAAAAUAAAUAAAAAGUCAGAAAAUUUUU
rnacentral:lncRNA from 1 species